AGGAAGGAAGGAAGGAAGGAAGGAAGGAAGGAAAGAAAGUGGCUUUCUCUUUUCCUUCCUUCCUUCCUUCCUUCCUUCCUUCCUUCCUUCCUUCCUGUCAU
rnacentral:miRNA from 1 species